CACAUCAGGCAUACAGUAGCAGAUACCAAAAGGAAUCACUGGUAUGUAUAAGAGAAAUCAGGAAGCUCAAGAGCUCAAGGCUUACCUUUUAACAUAAAUGGGAUGGAUCAGGAAAAGAAACAGUAGAAGACUUUCAGGGUAAAAGGCGCAUUGUUUCCAGCUCCAUCCAGUUUAAAAGAUACAUGAAAGUUUGAACUGCUUCCCAGGUCACAAACACAAUUCACUGCUGUGGAUCUCCUUUCUCAAGAGAGGCAGCUGUUCACAAUUCUUUGCCUGGAGCAAUGAGAUCUGGGCUCCUGCUUCUAAUAUAGCAACAAAUCUUGAUCCAGCUGGUGGCUUCUUCUCAACAAUGAAGGUUAGCAUCUUCUGACCAUCAUUGUUCGUCUUUAAACCAGUCAGUCUACCCUGCCUUCUGCCUGACUUCAGACUAACCCAGGUACCUUCCUAUUAUCAAGACCAUACCAUACGAAGUAGAAGAAGAGUAGAUUCUGCUAGGAUUCUGAUGUUAAUUUUUUGCAGCACCUGACCUACUGAAAUAGAAGGACAAGCAGGAGACCCCCUUCUGGAGAAGACACCGCCUUGGAGGAAGCUGACCAUCGACAGAAGAUCCGCAGGGCCUCGGAUAGGUUUUCUGGCACUUCUGAAAAGUGUCGAAGAUUGUUCCCUGAUAAGAUUGUGCUCCAUGGAGUGUGAACAUGGAAAUGAAUACAGAGCAGGUCAAGGGGCAGGAGAAGCUCUCUCUAAAGCAAUGAUUCUCAACCAGGGUGCCUUGCAAUAUGUCUACUGCAUUUUUUCUGUUUUCUGGUCUUAAUCCCAGCUCCUAGUGCAAGGAUAACUGCUGUAUGGAGAUUUUCAGGAAUUGAGAAUUAGUAGUACUAUUUCUCAUACUCUGUCACAUAAUGAAAAGUAUUGUGCAUACUGUUUCCUUGUGUGCAUAAAUCACUUCCCAAGUUUUUUCAUGAGUCAAGCUGUGUAACAUUUUGGUCCAAUCACUCUCUUUUCAAUAAAUAGUAUUGGUUUUUAGACAGUGAGAAUUUGUUUAUUUCUUUGUCAUGGUGGGAACUAAACAGAACUGUGUGUUUUGUUUUUUUCCCCCCCAAAAACUUAUCCAAUUGUUGCAUCAAAAGGAUGAUUAGAAUCCU